GUGCCAGCAGCCGCGGUAAGACAGGGGAUGCAAGCGUUACUCGGAAUUACUGGGCGUAAAGCGUCUGCAGGUUUUCUGUUAAGUCUGGUGUGAAAUGGCGAAGCUCAACUUCGUCAGUGUGCCGGAAACUGGCAGGAUCGAGUCAUUCAGAGGCAUCUGGAAUGUCGUGUGUAGGGGUAAAAUCCGUAGAUCCACGAUGGAACGCCAAAAGCGAAGGCAGGAUGCUGGGAAUGUACUGACACUCAGAGACGAAAGCGUGGGGAGCAAAGGGGAUUAGAUACCCCCGUAGUCC
rnacentral:rRNA from 1 species